GUUGGAUAUUUCUUAUAACAUUCUAACAAGCAGCCAUUUGCACUCUUUAAGGAAACUCAAAUCGCUUAAGAAUUUGAAUCUUAGUGGCAAUUCCUUCAACGGAUCCUUCCCUGCCCGAGAACUAUCUGCUUUUGAAAACUUAGAGACAUUAGAUUUAAGUUGGAAUACACUACAAGAUUCUUCAAUAAAGUUGGAUUCUGCGAAUUUCUAAAAGCUCAGGAACGUAAUUCUGCAUGAUAACUCCUUCACCAGAACUAAUAUUAUGAGGUUUCU